rnacentral:rRNA from 1 species
GUAGAUAUCAAGAGGAAGACUCGUGGCGAAGGCGAGUUCCUGGACAUAAACUGACGCUGAGGUACGAAGGCUAGGGUAGCGAAAGGGAUUAGAUACCCCUGUAGUCCUAGCAGUAAACGGUGCACGCUUGGUGUGGGGGGAAUCGACCCCCUCCGUGCCGGAGCAAACGCGUUAAGCGUGCCGCCUGGGGAGUACGGUCGCAAGAUUAAAACUCAAAGAAAUUGACGGGGACCCGCACAAGCGGUGGAGUAUGUGGCUUAAUUCGAUGCAACGCGAAGAACCUUACCAAGGCUUGACAUCCCGUGACAGCUAGUGAAAGCUAGAGUUCUCUUAGGAGACACGGAGACAGGUGCUGCAUGGCCGUCGUCAGCUCGUGUCGUGAGAUGUUUGGUUAAGUCCAGCAACGAGCGCAACCCCUGUUGUCAGUUACCAGCAAGUAAAGUUGGGGACUCCGGCAAGACUGCCCAGAUCAACUGGGAGGAAGGUGGGGACGACGUCAGGUCAGUAUGGCCCUUAUGCCUUGGGCUGCACACGUACUACAAUGCCCAGUACAGAGGGAAGCCAGUUCGCGAGAACGAGCAGAUCCCGAAAAGUGGGCCCAGUUCGGAUUGUAGGCUGCAACUCGCCUACAUGAAGCCGGAAUCGCUAGUAAUGGCACAUCAGCUACGGUGCCGUGAAUACGUUCCCGGGUCUUGUACACACCGCCCGUCACAUCAUGGAAGCCGGUCGCGCCCGAAGUAUCUGAAGCUAACCGAAAGGGAGCAAGGUCCUAAGGCGAGACUGGUAACUGGGAUG